rnacentral:rRNA from 1 species
CCUUUACUAUAGCUUGACACUGAACAUUGAGCCUUGAUGUGUAGGAUAGGUGGGAGGCUUUGAAGUGUGGACGCCAGUCUGCAUGGAGCCGACCUUGAAAUACCACCCUUUAAUGUUUGAUGUUCUAACGUUGGCCCCUAAUCGGGGUUGCGGACAGUGUCUGGUGGGUAGUUUGACUGGGGCGGUCUCCUCCUAAAGAGUAACGGAGGAGCACGAAGGUUGGCUAAUCCUGGUCGGACAUCAGGAGGUUAGUGCAAUGGCAUAAGCCAGCUUGACUGCGAGCGUGACGGCGCGAGCAGGUGCGAAAGCAGGUCAUAGUGAUCCGGUGGUUCUGAAUGGAAGGGCCAUCGCUCAACGGAUAAAAGGUACUCCGGGGAUAACAGGCUGAUACCGCCCAAGAGUUCAUAUCGACGGCGGUGUUUGGCACCUCGAUGUCGGCUCAUCACAUCCUGGGGCUGAAGUAGGUCCCAAGGGUAUGGCUGUUCGCCAUUUAAAGUGGUACGCGAGCUGGGUUUAGAACGUCGUGAGACAGUUCGGUCCCUAUCUGCCGUGGGCGCUGGAGAACUGAGGGGGGCUGCUCCUAGUACGAGAGGACCGGAGUGGACGCAUCACUGGUGUUCGGGUUGUCAUGCCAAUGGCACUGCCCGGUAGCUAAAUGCGGAAGAGAUAAGUGCUGAAAGCAUCUAAGCACGAAACUUGCCCCG